UCGCUUUUGGACAUCAAGAUGACCUUGACACAGGCACUGACUCUUUCUUCUAUAUAGUAAGUGCUACUUGUUGGGGUAAUUUUGGUGU
rnacentral:pre_miRNA from 12 species